rnacentral:rRNA from 1 species
CACCAGGCCCGGACACUGGAAGGAUUGACAGAUUGAGAGCUCUUUCUUGAUUCGGUGGGUGGUGGUGCAUGGCCGUUCUUAGUUGGUGGAACGAUUUGUCUGGUUAAUUCCGAUAACGAACGAGACUCUAGCCUACUAAAUAGGUGGCGGGUUCUUCCCGUCCGCUACUCUUCUUAGAGGGACAGGCGGCGUCUAGCCGCAUGAUAAUGAGCAAUAACAGGUCUGUGAUGCCCUUAGAUGUCCUGGGCUGCACGCGCGCUACACUGAAGGAACCAGCGUGUGUUCCCUGCCCGAAAGGGCCGGGUAACCGCUG